CGGAUGAACGCUGGCGGCGUGCCUAAUACAUGCAAGUCGAGCGAACCACUUCGGUGGUGAGCGGCGAACGGGUGAGUAACACGUAGGUUAUCUGCCCAUCAGACGGGGACAACGAUUGGAAACGAUCGCUAAUACCGGAUAGGACGAAAGUUUAAAGGUGCUUCGGCACCACUGAUGGAUGAGCCUGCGGCGCAUUAGCUAGUUGGUAGGGUAAAGGCCUACCAAGGCGACGAUGCGUAGCCGACCUGAGAGGGUGAACGGCCACACUGGGACUGAGACACGGACCAGACUCCUACGGGAGGCAGCAGUGAGGAAUAUUGGUCAAUGGGCGCAAGCCUGAACCAGCCAUGUCGCGUGCAGGAAGACUGCCCUAUGGGUUGUAAACUGCUUUUAUAGUAGAAGAAACACAUCUACGUGUAGAUGUCUGCCAGUAUACUAUGAAUAAGCAUCGGCUAACUCCGUG
rnacentral:rRNA from 1 species